GCUUGGCCCACUCUCACUCUGUGGAGUGUACAUUUGUUUCCAUAAAUCUGUGCUUUUUUUUUCAUUGUUUUGUUUGUGCAUUUCAUCCAAUUGUUUGUUCAAAAUGCCAAGAAUCUGGACACCCUCCACCAGUAACAGGCAAGAAGAGAAUAGAGGCAAAGCAAGCCACUCCAGAAGUCCUCUAGCCAGCUUUGUCUUUAGUUUGAUGGCCAGAGAGGAAAUCCAAGCCAAAAGCUCCUUUUGGAGACAAGAAUAUUCUGACAGCACCUCCUACGAUGUGACAGAGUCAAAGAAGAAAAUAUACAAGAGAACUCUGCUAUAGAAAAUUACAAAUUCAAACCAUGGGAAAAUGGGGAAUAGAAAAAUUAUCUCUUUAGACAGAGAAAAGAUUAUAAAUACUGAAAAUUGUCAUUUCUAUAAAUGUCAUUGCUCUUCUGUUUUACAUUGUGUAAAUAUUUGGAAGAAAAUGGCACAAUUUUCUUUCAAAAAAAGGGAAACAUUCAAAAUAUUUAAAUUAUAUAUAUUAUAUAUGUAACAUGAUCAGCAAGUCUGGAAACAUAACGAAGUUUUAUAGUAUUGAUUUAUUCCUAUCACUCUGAGAUAUGGUGACAUUACAUGAUAUGUUCAACGUGUUGUUCCUCAUUAGCAAUGUGUUAUGCAUAAUGGGGACCAACAUGGGACAUUAAUACAACAUUUCUAUCAGUGCCUGCACAUGCUUCUGUGAUACGUUGCCUCCAAUGAUUUUUGUCUCUAAUUUUCAGAAUAUAAACCUGCUCCAUUAGCAUUUUCUGGAAGAAGCAAUCAAAUGGGUUAAUCUGUGAAAGUAAAUGUUAUCUAUAUUUCCCAACAUUAUGGCCAUCCUGUAUUAACGUAUAUUAUGUAUAUUCUGAACUGCUCCAUAAUUGGAAUAGUCAUUCCUUAUCAAUAAUUUACUUGAUAUCAUGGAUAUGUGUCUUUUAGUUAAUGAUCCCUUUGCCAACUAGCCUAGUUUAUAGGCAGUGACUAUAUCAUACUCAUUUUGAAUUCCCAAUACUUACCACAGCUUCCUAUACAUGGUAGUUGUUUAAUAAAUAAUUCUUG
rnacentral:lncRNA from 1 species